rnacentral:rRNA from 1 species
ACUUACGACCACACGGCCUGAGUACGCCUGAUCUCGUCUGAUCUCGGAAGCUAGCAGGGUCGGGCCUGGUUAGUACUUGGAUGGGAGACCGCCUGUGAAUACCAGGUGCUGUAAGCU